rnacentral:lncRNA from 1 species
GUUGUUUAUUUAAAAAUGUAGUAAAUACAGCAUAUAUGAAAUUAUUUGUAAAUGAAAAAUGUAUAGACUAUGAAUUUAAAGUUGGUAAAUCUGCUUGGAUAAAAAUAUUCGUUCCACGCAAAUCUAAAACAAAUGAAAAUUGCUUCAUUGGUUGGAGCACUAAAUUAAUGAAAUGCAGGAUCACCAUGGGAAAAAAAAUCACAUUUACUUCACAUAGUCAUCUAGAAUUUGUUCAUAGGCACACAUUAAUCCUUUGUCAAAAGAUAUUCUUCAAAUAUAAGUAAAAAACAGCCAGUCUUCUUUAAUUAUAAGAGUACAGUUUCGGUAAAUGACAAUCUUCAGAUGUUCUUUUCUUCAGGAUACGAACAUAUUUCUACACAGUUGUUUUUGCUAAACAUCAGAGAAACAGCCAAAAAUAUCCUCCUGAUCUUGAACCUAAAUAUCACACACUUUUUCGUUGUGCACAUAUUUCAAGAACUU